AUCAUCGACAAAGCGAGGGAUAUUUGUAAAAAAUUAAGUCAGAAAGGGAAGAAUGAAAUUAAGGUAAAUAUAUAAAACUAAGUAUGUCAUGAGGUAUGUAUGCUUUGGUGCUUUUAUGGGUUUUCCACAAAACAAUUUAUUUAUAUGAAGUGCUCCGCGAGUCAAAAGGCUGAAAACCCCUGCAUUAUAAGUCAUCAUAAUACAAGCUGCAAGUUUUAAACUGAUUGGAUAUUAAAAUGUUACCAUAAAAAAUGUACAUAAAAUCGAGGAAAAAUUAGAAUUACUAUUAGCAAUUAGCAAGUCGCACAAAUUCGUAGGUGGUACAGUCCCAGACCGCUGUUAAGAGAGGUAAAAUGUACAUAAAAACAAAGUACAUGAAAUCGGGUGUCUAUAUAAUCGGGAGUUCACUAAAUCGAGGUAUACCUGUAUACAUACAUAUCAAUUUACACAUAAUAAAGCAUAACUAAUUGGCAAUUCGCAUAAUUGGCUAUACGCACUUCACUUCAAAUUUUUCUUAUUACAACAGUUGACUUCGUAUUAUUGUAUGAAUAAACUCUCAUUAAUGCAUAAAUAAACUCGCUCAAGUGUACUUGCAUACUCGCAUAAGCGAGAAUCGUUUUUAUUAACAUAAUGCGAUUUAAUAUGGGAUAAUAAUGUCUUAUAAUGUUAUUAUUGUCCCCUCAAUGCAGGUAUAUCGUCUCCACUUUUAUACGCAUAAUAAGGAAUAAGAUGCUGCAAAUGCGAUGUAACUUGCACGGAUAAAAUACGAUGAUUAACUUUAUUAUACGCGUAAAUUGGUUGUAAGGGUCAUCUGUAAGUAUCUAACUACAACUUCAUUGAUAUCUUCACAUUGAACUCUAUGGCUCUGGUUCUGCCUUAUGUCAGCCAGAAAGCGCAAUCUGGAAUAACCGGUCCAAUUAACGAAGUUCAAGUCCAACAAUCAAAGGCAUCCGACACCUUCAAUUCGAGUUUCAAUUCGUGCACUCUUCGACCAGUAGGGGUAUAUGCCUCGCCCUCCGAUGAUUGAUACCCAACCCAUAGCUACCGCCGAGGCAUUCAAUCAAAACUGGAAGGAGGGCUCUACAAAUAGCCAAAAGGCACUGAAAGUGAGUUCGGUGCAGGUACGCAGCACGGGAUAAUAGCAGCCCCUGUAAUUGCAUAAUCGCAUUGCUGCGCCUCGCACGGUUGCUUGGCUUCGAAGAUCGCCUGCUAGUCAUGCCGAUGAUGAUGAUGGUGGUGAUGAUGACCGUCAUCGUCGACUGGGCUGGGGGGCUUUUAACAACGCAAAAACGUCUUGUUAAAGAGGGAAAUGAAGUGUUUGGUGUUCGCUCCGACUUUAAGGCAUCUCGGUCGCGCUCAUCCGACUCUUACGGUUAAUUACCAGUUCCGGAUAGGUGCGUACAUGCGUGUGGACUAUGUGCGCGCGCCAUCCCCAAGUGAAUCCAUUAGCGAAAGUAAUUUACACUUUGAUGGAAUUGGUUUCUCGAUCAUAAUAGGAAUUUUCCCCCGGGAAAACAUUGAAUUGUGCCAUGCCACUAGCACUCGUGGCUCUAGUAGAGAGAAAGAGAGAGAGGAACGGGACAUUCAUCCAGCUUUUACCGAUAUUGCUUUGAGACAUGCCAGGGAAGGUUCAGGACACACAUCAAUAACAACAAAAGUAACGCAACGGCCAACCUGAAGCAAUUUAUGGAAUGGGAAUGGAACGGAAGCCAGAACAUCGAUGUCGGAAGCAUGGCAUGGCAUCGAUAAAACUGGCUCAGAACGGGGACCUUGCGGGUGGAAUAUGUUGUCUGCAUUUAGUCGAUUGAUGAGAAUUAACAAUACAUUUAGUCAUCUCUGCAAUUCAACUUAUCGAAUUGCAUACCUAUAGAAUUACAGAUCAGAAUAAAUGAACCAGCAAAUUAAGCAGAAGCUAUGAGGGAAAAUACCUUUUUAUGUACUGACACCAUUACAGAAUAAUUGAGUGGAGCAAUCUGUAUGAAACUUCUUACAAAAUUCUGUCAAGGUUUUCUUCCAGGAAUUCUAUGCGAGAUUCCUCUCGGAACUCCUUCUGAGAUCCUUCCAGGAAUCUUACAUGAACUUUUUUAAAAAUUCCUCCAAAUACUUCUCCAACAUUUUUCCAGGAGCUCCAUCUGGCAUUCUUUCAGAAACUACUUCUGGGAUUGCUUCAAGAAUUCUUUCCGGGAUUUCUGCGAUAAUUCCACCAGGAAUUACUUCCAGGAUUCUUUCGGGAACUCCUUCAGGGAAUACUCUGGGAACUUCCUCUAUGCUUCUGUCAGGAAUUGCGUCUGGAAUUUCUUCAGGAGCUACUUUGUGGAUUUCUUCGGCAACUUCCUCCGGGGUUCCUUCGGGUACUCUUUCCAGGAUUCCUCUUGAAACAUCUUGCGGGAAGUUCUUUUGGAUUUUUUUUUCAAAAUCUGCUUCCAAAAUUUCUUCAGGAAUUCAGGGAUUCAUCUAGGAACGCUUGUCUGGUUUCCUCCAAACGUUUCGUUUCAUUAGGAAUUCCUGCAGAUCUUUCUGUAAUUCCUUUGGAAAUUCAUUCUAGAAUUCUUUCAGAUGUUUCAGAUGUUUCAUCUCCGGGAGUUUAUUAGGGAGUAUUUUGAGAAAUUCUUCCUGUAGUUUUUGUUUAUGGAAUUCCUCGUGAAAUUUCUACAGGAUUUCCUUGCUCCGAGAUGAGCCCGCCCAAGGCUGAAAAUCUCGUGAAUAAAGGUAAUAAUAAUAAAGGAUUUCCUUAAGGAAAUACUCCAGAAAGUUCCUUCUGGUUUUCCUCCAACAGUUCCUUCCGGGAUUGCAUUUUCGAGAAAUAGUUUCUGAAGGAACACCAAAAAAAAUCUCAGGUCUUGCUCCCUGAGGAAUCACAGAAUGAAAUGCUAGAGGGAUGCUAGAAAAAAAUGUGGAGAAACCACGGAAAGAAUUCCUGGGAGAAUCUCAGGAAAAAUUGCUGGUGUAAUCCUGGAAGGAGUAAUCCUGAAGGGAUCUCGGAACUAAUUUCUAGAACAAUUUCUGAAGUAUUUUGAAGAAAUUCAGGAACUCCAGAAUCAAUCGCAGAAGGUAAUCCUCAAGAAAUCCAGGACAGAAUCUCUAGAAGAAUCCCGGGAGUACUUGCUGCAGGAAUCCUGGCAAGACCUCUUGAAGGAAUCCUACAGGUAUCUUAGAAGAAACUACUGGAAGACCCCCAAAAGGAACCUCAAAUAAACCCCUCGGAAGAAUCUUAUCAGGAACUCCCUGGGAAUCCCACAAGAAACUCCUUGAGAAGUGCUGGAACAAACUUGUGGAGAAACCGCGAAAAGUUCCUUGUAGGAAUCCCGGAUGAAAUUCCUGUGGAAUUCCAGAAGGAACUCUUGGAGGGAUGUCACCGUGUCGUCAUCAAGUCAUAAAUCUGCACACUUUCCCACGCUCGCGAACCCCAUAUUUUGAGUUGAAUCCACGGAAUAGGUUCUCUAGGCAUGGCCAUGAGUCAGAAUGCGCUGUUCAACACUCUUCGAACACGCUUCAUACUCAGCGCUGCAGCCCAUGCUGGGACAUCAUAGUAUUGAGUCUGCUAGGCUCACCAGAAGACGCCUUUUGCUGCUUCGAGGUCCCCCAACGUUCGGCAUGAUCCCUGCUAUAUCGUUAACACAGCCUUCACCGUCUUUUCAUCGACGUGUCCUUUGAAGCACAGACGAUCAUCGAUCAUCACACCUAGGUGCGUAGAAGCGGGUUUCGAAGCGAUUAUGUGCUCUUCGACUACAAUCCCCAUUCGUAGGACUGCUUAAAAGUUGCUGAUCAGAAGCACUUCUGCUUGGUGAUGGACAAUCUGAAGCUUGACUCUAGUCAUCGAUCUUUCCACAGUGGCCAUUGAAUCAUUUAAGUAUGUAUUUUUUUCUGUUACCGUCAACACGAGGUCGUCUGCGAAACCUGUGAUGACGACUCAUUUCGUGUUUUAAAGUUAAUACUCCGUUGUAUACAGCAUUCCAGAGCAUUAAAUCGAGUAUGGACCCUUGUGGCGCAACUGCCAUCGCUCCUAAAGUCCUCUAUCCUGCGUUGGUCUCACAUACUAUCAGUUACCCUGUUCUGGAAGUAGCUCCGUAAAAUUUUACACAGUGGGAAACUCGCAUACUGUACAGCGCUACGACAAUAGUUUCCCAACUGGCGCUGUUACCGUUACCACGGCACAGAAUCGGUCACCACUCCGCUGUUUCUAGGAUGCCUUCCCGACAUUCCCGGUCCCGCAACGACUUCCUGAAUAGCAUUCACCGUCGAUUUUCCCUUGCAGAAUCUGAAAUGCAUCGCAGAAAGUCUCCCCUCUCUUUCGGCACAUUCUGGCAACGUGCUCAAGAUGAUCUUCUCUAACAGUUUUUUUUUUUCUAUAGUAUGCAGCAGACAUAUUGGUCUACACGAUCCUGGAUCCAAUGGAGGCUUUACUGGUUUGAGCAGCAACAUGAACUUCUGGCCCUUCCAUCCGCCUGAGAAGUAACCUUCAUCCAGGCAUUUUUGAAACGCCGUCCUGACCAUGUCCAGAAACGCAAGUAUCUUCGUUCUAGAUGUUACAUUGGGGAUCACAUCCGGACCGGGAGCUUCUUCCUCUUCUUCAGCCCCAUGGCGAUUAUCAAUAGCUCUGCAAUGGAUAUCCGAACGCCUCCAGAUUCGGUACGCGUUGCUCCAAGGGUUGGAGCAUCGGCUUCUGGCACGACUCUUUGUAGCAUAGCAGUUCGACUUUCUCAGCCUUAUUUCACGUUUAAGAACAGCGGUUCGUGCAUCUUCGAAGACGAAUUUCUUCUCUCUCAGCUUCAUAUCUGGCCAACUGAGCGCGCUUCCUGGCUCGGAGGUAAGCAGCGUGGAGGGUACCGUAGCAUCGCAUUCCACCGGAACGCUUCUCUUGCUAGGCUAGGCUACAAUGGCUCUGCAAUGAUACUUACAUAGUCUCUGUUGUCGACUGUCAUAACAGUUGCUGUACGAUAUCGCAAUGAUUGAAAUUGAUUUGAUUGAGAUCUAUGAUAUCUUCUAUGUGGGAGUGAGUAGGUGAGUAAAUGAAUGAGUGAGUUAGUUACUAAGGGUGAGUUGAGUGAGUUAUUAAAUUAAUUUUAGCGAGUGAGUGAGUUGUUAAAUGAGUGUGUUAAUAAGUAAGUGAAUGAGUGACUGGGACUAAGUGAGUAAGAGUUAGUGGAUUGGUGAGAAAGUGAGCUAAUGAGUUAGUUAAUGAGUUGGAGACAUAACAAGUUUGAAAUUUAGUAUGUAAAUGCAUUGGUAAGUUAGUAAGUGAGAAAGCGAGUGAGCGAGCUUGCACUCUAUACGUAUACACGAUCUUUCCGCAAGUGGGCUACGCUAUUUAUUUCACACACAAGCCAGCUACUCGCUCUCCGGCAUUAAACAGUUGCACGCACUAAGCGAGUUUCUAAAAUUCUAAAUCUUAAAAUGUAUUUAAUGAUAUUAUGAAAAGAUACACUUCUGUGACACUGAUGAAAAUAUUGAGGAUUUAGCAAUGGGCCCUUGAAACAAAUUGAGUUUUCUCAAGGGAGUGUGGUUAAACAUUCUCAAAUCCAAAUCUAACUCAUACCUGAGAGCCACGAAUUAACGCUUCUUUCUAUUUACUCUUCAAAAAACAGAAAAAAAUGAGGCAAUAAUUCCCCCAGAAAUUUGCUAAUAAAAAAUCACCAGAACUUUUUCUUGGAAAGUUUUGCCGAAAAUGUUCAUAAGGAUACUUUGACUUUCCGUAUUCCAAUCGAACGGCAAUUCCGACAGUGAAUCUGACAUCGCAAAUCCUCUA